UGGCGGCGUGCCUAAUACAUGCAAGUCGAACGGUCUUUUCUAUGGAAGCUUGCUUCCACUGAGAAGAUAGUGGCGAACGGGUGAGUAACACGUGGGUAACCUGCCCAUAAGAGGGGGAUAACAUCCGGAAACGGGUGCUAAUACCGCAUAGUUUUCUUGGUCGCAUGAUCGGGAAAGGAAAGACGGCCUUUGUGCUGUCGCUUAUGGAUGGACCCGCGGCGUAUUAGUUAGUUGGUGAGGUAACGGCUCACCAAGACGAUGAUACGUAGCCGACCUGAGAGGGUGAUCGGCCACAUUGGGACUGAGACACGGCCCAAACUCCUACGGGAGGCAGCAGUAGGGAAUCUUCCGCAAUGGACGAAAGUCUGACGGAGCAACGCCGCGUGAGUGAAGAAAAGGUUUUCGGAUCGUAAAACUCUGUUGUCAGAGAAGAACAAGUUGGAGAGUAACUGCUCCAGCCUUGACGGUAUCUGACCAGAAAGCCACGGCUAACUACGUGCCAGCCGCCGC
rnacentral:rRNA from 1 species